rnacentral:rRNA from 1 species
GAUCCUGGCUCAGGAUGAACGCUGGCGGCGUGCUUAACACAUGCAAGUCGAACGAAACACCUUAUUUGAUUUUCUUCGGAACUGAAGAUUUGGUGAUUGAGUGGCGGACGGGUGAGUAACGCGUGGGUAACCUACCCUGUACAGGGGGAUAACAGCCAGAAAUGAAUGCUAAUACCGCAUAAGACCACAGCACCGCAUGGUGCAGGGGUAAAACUCCGGUGGUACAGGAUGGACCCGCGUCUGAUUAG